rnacentral:rRNA from 1 species
UACAGAACCCCCGAGCGUUAUCCGGAUUUAUUGGGCGUAAAGAGUCUGUAGGCGGACUGUUAAGUUCUUCGCUAAAUUCUCUUGCUUAACAUGAGAAGCGCGAGGAAAACUGGCAGACUUGAGGAUAUUAGGAGUUGAUGGAACCGAUGGUGUAGGGGUGAAAUCCAUUGAUAUCAUCGGGAACACCAAAAGCGAAAGCAUUCAACUAUAAUAAUCCUGACGCUGAGAGACGAAAGCGUGGGGAG